rnacentral:rRNA from 1 species
GACGAACGCUGGCGGCGUGCUUAACACAUGCAAGUCGAACGGAAAGGCCCUGCUUGCCGGGUACUCGAGUGGCGAACGGGUGAGUAACACGUGGGUGAUCUGCCCUGCACUUCGGGAUAAGCCUGGGAAACUGGGUCUAAUACCGGAUAGGAGCCAUUUUUAGUGUGAUGGUUGGAAAGUUUUUUCGGUGUAGGAUGAGCUCGCGGCCUAUCAGCUUGUUGGUGGGGUAAUGGCCUACCAAGGCGGCCACGGGUAGCCGGCCUGAGAGGGUGGACGGCCACAGUGGGACUGAGAUACGGCCCAGACGCCUACGGGAGGCAGCAGUGGGGAAUAUUGCACAAUGGGCGCAAGCCUGAUGCAGCGACGCCGCGUGGGGGAUGACGGCCUUCGGGUUGUAAACGCCUUUCGCUAGGGACGAAGCUUUUUGUGACGGUACCUAGAGAAGAAGCACCGGCUAACUACGUG